rnacentral:rRNA from 1 species
CACGUAGGGGGCGAGCGUUGUCCGGAUUUAUUGGGCGUAAAGAGCGUGUAGGCGGCCAGACAGGUCCGUUGUGAAAACUCGAGGCUCAACCUCGAGAUGUCGAUGGAAACCGUCUGGCUAGAGUCCGGAAGAGGAGUGUGGAAUUCCUGGUGUAGCGGUGAAAUGCGCAGAUAUCAGGAAGAACACCUAUGGCGAAGGCAGCUCUCUGGGACGGUACUGACGCUGAGACGCGAAAGCGUGGGGAGCGAACAGG